rnacentral:rRNA from 1 species
AUUGAACGCUGGCGGCAGGCCUAACACAUGCAAGUCGAACGGUAACAGGAAGCAGCUUGCUGCUUUGCUGACGAGUGGCGGACGGGUGAGUAAUGUCUGGGAAACUGCCCGAUGGAGGGGGAUAACUACUGGAAACGGUAGCUAAUACCGCAUAACGUCGCAAGACCAAAGAGGGGGACCUUAGGGCCUCUUGCCAUCGGAUGUGCCCAGAUGGGAUUAGCUAGUAGGUGGGGUAACGGCUCACCUAGGCGACGAUCCCUAGCUGGUCUGAGAGGAUGACCAGCCACACUGGAACUGAGACACGGUCCAGACUCCUACGGGAGGCAGCAGUGGGGAAUAUUGCACAAUGGGCGCAAGCCUGAUGCAGCCAUGCCGCGUGUAUGAAGAAGGCCUUCGGGUUGUAAAGUACUUUCAGCGGGGAGGAAGGGAGUAAAGUUAAUACCUUUGCUCAUUGACGUUACCCGUAGAAGAAGCACCGGCUAACUCCGU